GACCUAAUGGUGAAGUUGGUAUCGUGUCCACUACUGCUGAGAUGGUUUGGGAUGGCUCCGUGGAAGUACCCUCGUUCGAGUCGAGGUUAGGUCA